rnacentral:lncRNA from 1 species
AGACGUCUGCUGUCUGUCCCUUAAACCUGUCGAGAGGUCUCUUGAGCCCAGUGUUGUCUUCUCCUCUGCGUUGACUCUCUCUCAGUUUAUUUAAAAUCUUCAUUUUUUUGCUUAAACUUUCAUAUUUUCUUAUUUUGUAGUAGUUUUUUUAUGUUUUAUAAAUAAAUAACAAACAGUGUUUCAAAAAAGAAGAAGAUAAUAUCGCUUGUGGGGGAGUGAAUCGAUGUAAUACAAAUAAAAGUUGAGAUUGUCGUCGCUGAUGAGAUUAUAAUAAAAGUUUGGCUUUUAUUUUAUUUUAAGGGUUUGUUUUUUUUUUAAGUUGUAAAUAUGUAAAUGUUUAUGUUAAGGCAACAUUUGAACAAAGUAGUACUAGAAGGUCUUAAUUUUGGGAUGCUUGCUUGCUUCAUGAAAGGAGUACAUUUUAGCAAAUGGGAACAAGAACUUAGACAAUAAUGGAAAAAAAUGAAAUUCUAUUAUAAUGUAAUGGCUGUCAUUUUCUCAGCCUUUAAAUGUGGCUUUUUGUUGAUAACAACAUGGCAUAUUUGAGUCUUUUGGAGAAAAGUCUAAUCUAUUGGAUAUAUACAUCAACCAUAUAAUAACAAUAUAGUUAAAG